rnacentral:lncRNA from 1 species
AUUUGUAUUUUAUCUUUUUUUUUUAUCUUAAUUUCUACCUAUUGCUCUUAUUCCUUGUGUAUUUAAUAUCAUAGUAUCUCCUAUAGAUUUUCAUUUUUUUCUUUAUUGUGUCAAUAAUAACUUCAUAAAAUUCAUGCUUGGUAAUUCUUAGGAUGUUAUUAAUUGUGAAUUCAAUCUUUUCAUUUAAAAUUUUCUCCUCCAAUAUCUUCUUCAAAUUUGUAGAAACUUCAAUAUUUUAUUUUAAUUUAUAAGCAAGAGCCUUUGUUAUUUAUUUU